CUUUUUAAUGGGAUGGUUUUUUUUUUUUUUUGUAAGUUUGAAGUUCCGUAUAGAUGCUGGAUAUUAGGCCUUCACUAGAUGCAUAGUUUGCAAAAAUUGUCUCCCAUUCUGUAGGUUAUCUAUUUACUCUGUUGAUAGUUUCUUUUGCUGUGCAGAAGAGGCCCUAGCUUUCUUAUCAUUUCUAGUGCCAAAAUAAAACACAUAUGAAACUAAAGCAAAGGAACACAGGAAAAGUGGCUGAGAAAUUGGUACAAUAAUCUAGGCCAAUUGAGGAUAAAAGUUCCAAGAUUCAAAGGAUGAAGGCAGUGUCUGAUAGGCGGAUAUUAUGAUACAGAGAUUUUACUUGAGCAAUGCUUUAUUAAGAAGAGAAAUGAGGCCGGGCGUGGUGGCUCACACCUGUAAUCCCAGCACUUUGGGAGGCCAAGGCUGGUGGAUCACCUGAGGUCAGGAGUUCAAGACCAGCCUGGCCAACAUGGUGAAACCGCGUCUCUACUUAAAAAUACAAAAAUUAGCUGUCAUGGUGGCGGGAAAAAGAGAGAGAGAGAGAGAAACGAAAAACCUUAAAACAGGCACAGACAGCCAUACCCAACAUACAUUUGA
rnacentral:lncRNA from 1 species